rnacentral:rRNA from 1 species
AACGAACGCUGGCGGCAGGCCUAACACAUGCAAGUCGAACGGACGUAGCAAUACGUUAGUGGCGCACGGGAGAGUAACGCGUGGGAACCUACCUUUUGGUUCGGGAUAACAUCGGGAAACUGGUGCUAAUACCGGAUAAGCCCUUCGGGGGAAAGAUUUAUUGCCGAAAGAUGGGCCCGCGUUGGAUUAGCUAGUUGGUGAGGUAAUGGCUCACCAAGGCAACGAUCCAUAGCUGGUCUGAGAGGAUGAUCAGCCUCACUGGGACUGGGACACGGCCCAGACUCCUACGGGAGGCAGCAGUGGGGAAUAUUGGACAAUGGGGGAAACCCUGAUCCAGCCAUGCCGCGUGAAUGAUGAAGGCCUUCGGGUUGUAAAGUUCUUUUGGUGGGGACGAUGAUGACGGUACCCACAGAAUAAGCUCCGGCUAACUUCGUGCCAGCAGCCGCCGUAA